ACAAAAACAAAUCCGAGUUUUAGGGUUUCUUUUCCUCAAAAUUUUGAUUUCUUUGUUACUUCUCUGUCGAUUCGUUUCUAUCCCAUUCUCCGUUUCAAAUCCAGAAACUAGGGUUUCGCAAUGGCGACAGCGACAAGUCAGGGUCGUGAUCCGCUGUUCGUGUCAUCAAAAUCUAUUCGCGCAGCAGAAAUAAAGAUUAGGUUUGCGGAUAUCAUUGUCAAGUCGAGUAGUAACAAGCCUGAGGCAAUGAUGAAGAUGAGAAGAGAGAAGCAGAGGAAGCUUCUUCAAGAAGAAAAAGCAAGAAUGAGAAUGAGACAAGAGGCAAGGCUUGCGGUGCUGAAGGUGGAAGAAGAAGAAGCAAGAUCCGAUUGUAGAUCUGAGGGAUGACAAACUGUUCUUGAUUGACCACCAUGUUACAAGUGCUCAGAUAUCCAAAGGAAUCAGAGCAUAUCACUCUUGCAUAGUAGACAUGAAUAUCGUAAGCAAGAGAAAGUUUGUGAAAGGGCCAAUGAUAUAAGAGAGACGAAGCAAGCAACAUCUAAGAUGAGAAGGAGAUAAGAGUGUGAACCAUUGCUGAUGAGUUCUGAUCUGGUGUUUAAUAAGACACCAAAAUAUUUAAUAAGCAAAUUGAUUGAUGUUUAGUUUUAAUUUUAUUAAUUUAUAAUUUUAGAUAUGUUAUAUCUAGUCGGUUUUAU